AAACUAGAAGUGAGGAAAUAUUUAUAGGGUGAAUUGCAAAACUAACUGUUUUUGAUAAUUUAUUUAAGAAACUAACACUAUAAUAUACAAAAUGUAGAAAUUAACACUAGAGGGUAGUAAAAUUACUAAAUUAGUCUUUUUGAUUGGAGAUGGUAGUGGUGGUGAUGGUUGUGGCCGGUGGUGGCCGGCGGUGGUGGAUGGAGUUGAUGGUGGUCGGAAGUGUUGGUGAUCGGUGUGGUGGUUGCUAUGGUGGUGGCCCGCGGUGGUAGUGG
rnacentral:sRNA from 1 species